ACGGGGGGGGCGAGCGUUGUUCGGAAUUACUGGGCGUAAAGGGCGCGUAGGCGGUGCUCUAAGUUAGAUGUGAAAACUCUGGGCUCAACCCAGAGCCUGCAUCUAAAACUGGAGUGCUAGAGUUCUGGAGGGGGUAGCGGAAUUCCCGGUGUAGCGGUGAAAUGCGUAGAUAUCAGGAGGAACACCGGUGGCGAAGGCGGCUACCUGGACAGAAACUGACGCUGAGGCGCGAAAGCUAGGGGAGCAAACAGGA
rnacentral:rRNA from 1 species